AUGAACGCUGGCGGCGUGCCUAAUACAUGCAAGUCGAGCGAACGGACGAGAAGCUUGCUUCUCUGAUGUUAGCGGCGGACGGGUGAGUAACACGUGGAUAACCUACCUAUAAGACUGGGAUAACUUCGGGAAACCGGAGCUAAUCCGGGAUAAUAUUUUAACCCGAUUGUUUAAAAGGGAAAGGAGGGUCUUGCUGUCACUUAUAGAUGGAUCCGCGCUGCAUUAGCUAGUUGGUAAGGUAACGGCUUACCAAGGCAACGAUGCAUAGCCGACCUGAGAGGGUGAUCGGCCACACUGGAACUGAGACACGGUCCAGACUCCUACGGGAGGCAGCAGUAGGGAAUCUUCCGCAAUGGGCGAAAGCCUGACGGAGCAACGCCGCGUGAGUGAUGAAGGUCUUCGGAUCGUAAAACUCUGUUAUUAGGGAAGAACAUAUGUGUAAGUAACUGUGCACAUCUUGACGGUACCUAAUCAGAAAGCCACGGCUAACUACGUG
rnacentral:rRNA from 1 species